GAGUUUGAUCAUGGCUCAGGAUGAACGCUAGCGGCAGGCUUAAUACAUGCAAGUCGAGGGGCAGCACGGGUAGCAAUAUCUGGUGGCGACCGGCGCACGGGUGCGUAACACGUAUACAAUCUACCCUUAACAGGGGGAUAGCCCUCCGAAAGGAGGAUUAAUACCCCAUAAUAAAUUGAAUGGCAUCAUUUGAUUUUGAAAGUUCCGACGGUUAAGGAUGAGUAUGCGUCUGAUUAGCUAGUUGGUGAGGUAAAGGCUCACCAAGGCAACGAUCAGUAGGGGAUCUGAGAGGACUACCCCCCACACUGGUACUGAGACACGGACCGGACUCCUACGGGAGGCAGCAGUAAGGAAUAUUGGUCAAUGGAGGCAACUCUGAACCAGCCAUGCCGCGUGCAGGAAGACGGCCCUAUGGGUUGUAAACUGCUUUUGUACGGGAGAAAACCCUUUCACGUGUGAGAGGUUGAUAGUACCGUAAGAAUAAGCAUCGGCUAACUUCGUGCCAGCAGCCGCGGUAAGACGAAGGAUGCAAGCGUUAUCCGGAUUCAUUGGGUUUAAAGGGAGCGUAGGUGGACUUGUAAGUCAGUGGUGAAAUCUCUCAGCUUAACUGAGAAACUGCCAUUGAUACUGCAGGUCUUGAGUACAGAUGAUGUGGGCGGAAUAUGACAUGUAGUGGUGAAAUACUUAGAUAUGUCAUAGAACACCGAUUGCGAAGGCAGCUCACAAAACUGUAACUGACACUGAGGCUCGAAAGUGCGGGGAUCAAACAGGAUUAGAUACCCUGGUAGUCCGCACCGUAAACGAUGAUUACCCGUUGUUAGCGAUAUGACAGUUAGCGACCAAGCGAAAGCGAUAAGUAAUCCACCUGGGGAGUACGCCGGCAACGGUGAAACUCAAAGGAAUUGACGGGGGCCCGCACAAGCGGAGGAGCAUGUGGUUUAAUUCGAUGAUACGCGAGGAACCUUACCUGGGCUUGAAAGUUAGUGACCGUCUCUGAAAGGAGAUUUUCCGCAAGGACACGAAACUAGGUGCUGCAUGGCUGUCGUCAGCUCGUGCCGUGAGGUGUUGGGUUAAGUCCCGCAACGAGCGCAACCCCUACCAUUAGUUACCAGCGAGUAAUGUCGGGAACUCUAAUGGAACUGCCCGUGCAAACGGUGAGGAAGGUGGGGAUGACGUCAAGUCAUCACGGCCCUUACGUCCAGGGCUACACACGUGCUACAAUGGCCGGUACAACGGGCAGCUACACAGCGAUGUGAUGCUAAUCUCUAAAAACCGGUCUCAGUUCGGAUUGAAGUCUGCAACUCGACUUCAUGAAGCUGGAUUCGCUAGUAAUCGCGCAUCAGCAAUGGCGCGGUGAAUACGU
rnacentral:rRNA from 1 species